AAAGUACUCCCUCUGUCCCAAAAUUCUUGUCUUAGAUUUGUCUAGAUACAGAUGUAUCAAGUCACAUUUUAGUAUUAGAUACAUCCGUAUCUAGACAAAUCUAAGACAAGAAAUUUGGGACAGAGGGAGUAGUUG
rfam:Triticum aestivum genome assembly, contig: Triticum_aestivum_CS42_TGACv1_scaffold_345148_4DL